UCAAUCUAAUGAAAAGACUGAUAUUCUACUUGCGCAGAGAGAAACAAAACUUUCUUAGAAAAUAUGAGGAACGUUCGAUGUUAUUCAAUCGAGAUAAGAAAGAGACAUAUCUUCGUAAUGCUAAACAGUUUCCUUUAGACGAACUUUAACGAUGAGAAUGAAGGAUAAUUAAAUCACUUCUGACACAGAGUCAGAAUAUAAUCGGAUUAUCUUAUGACUCCCACUAUAGUUGGGCGCGGCAAAUCACCGUGGCAAAUAAAGCACUUCAGGGUCUUUUCAAGUCCUUUGGACUGUCAAGUGCAGACGCAGAAGAAGACAACCGUUUGAAUUUUUCUUUGUCAUAAUCGAAGUGCUAAAUUGCAUAGAGUGUUAAUAUCAACUCAUAGAGGAAAGCUUGGCCUUCGAAAGAGGUGGAAAAAUGCUCGCGAGGCCAGCCAAUGUAAUGCGUGACGGUCAGGGACUCUAGCAUGGACAUAGAUCUUUUUUUAACAACACGAAGACGCAGACUGUUAUUAACAGUACACGGAUAUUAAGAGUUCUCGGAAUUAGUGGUGGUCUGAUCCGACGAGAAAGAAACCGACCAGAUUUCUAUCAAAGUUCAACGAGAAAGAUUUUUUUAAGAAUUCUUAAUUUUCGAGAUUAAACAUGAAUCAUCAUUGACUAUUUUUUUUACUGUUCAUAUUUUUUUAACAACACGAAGACGCAGACUGUUAUUAACAGUACACGGAUAUUAAGAGUUCUCGGAAUUAGCGGUGGUCUGAUCCGACGAGAAAGAAACCGACCAGAUUUCUAUCAAAGUUCAACGAGAAAGAUUUUUUUAAGAAUUCUUAAUUUUCGAGAUUAAACAUGAAUCAUCAUUGACUAUUUUUUUUACUGUUCAUCUUAAAUAUAUUAUGAUGUAUCUCUGGUUUUAUCCGAUUAGACGCUUUCAGCAAAUUGCGAAAAGUACUCCGCGAAUUUCACGUAUGUAACAAUGUCUGCUUAUUUCAAAUUUCUAAUUUAGAUUAUUGCAAUUAAUUUAUUAAUUAUAGUAAUCGUGCUAGAAAAACGAAUAUAAAUUGAUGACGUAGCUCACCGUAAAUGCAAAUGCAGAGCAAUGCGAGCGUAGUCGCGACGAUCCAUGAGACUCUCACGAACAUCUCGGAAAUGUGCCGCUGCCGAUCUACAAGGAACAACGUCUACCACCGCACUGCGCUCGUCUCUGAAGACACCGUCGAUCGACGCGAGAAGAUCCGCGCUUUCGCAUCGUCCUCGGGUGAUCGCUUUCUUAUAUACGGCGAUAGCAGCCGCGAAUGCCGCGCGACGCAGAGACGAUGAGGAUACGAGGACACAGAGAAGAGCGGGGCGAGGAAGAACACAUCACAUUUGGGAAGUGGUCGAAGGACAGGAAUUUCGUCGUCGUCAUCGUUGUCAUCGUGAUCUGAGGCAAAGGAUAAAAAAAACGGAACUGCGAAAAUAGAAACUGCUGGCCAAAAACGAGCGGUUGGUUAAUGUCCUACGACGGUCCUCAAGAUUAUUGCUGAUCACGUCUCACCCUCCAAGUGAGAUUUUUUAUUCACAGCAGAGGCAUUAAAGAGCGUGAUAUGCUUUCAAAGGAAGUCCUGAGAGAUACAAGGGUCAGAUAAUUUCGAGAAAAUGGCCCAAAGUAUCGUCUUUCAAAGAAGAAAUAUCCUUCAAGCAUCUUUGCAAUACAGAGAUACUUAAUUGCUGUCAGAAACCUGAAAAUUAAUCAUUUUGUAAAAUUUAUUGCAAUAUGUGAAAAUUCUGAAAUAACACAGGUGAUUAAUGAUAAUUCAUCCACGUGAAUCGCACGAGAAGCAUUCGUAAUUAAAGAUAUAAUCCUGAAUAGAACUUAUGAAAGAUCUGCCAAGCUCGGAAAUGCUAUGCGAAAUGGGAGGUCAUAAUAUGUCAUGAUAUAACGAUCUGCGGAAGAGAUGCAAAAAUGAAGAGGAAUGUUGGAACCUAAUCCUGCACAUUUCACGAUAGUAAACCUUGAAAACCUUAAUCCUGCGGUCCCUAAUGCGCUUUCUAACACAGAACAUCUGCGUCAGGCGCGUCAUUAUCUUACAAUCCGCAACAGAAAUGCGAAGACCGCGACACAACCGGAUCCAAGUUCAAUGUCAAUGGCCUAAGCGCGACGCGCUGGUGUCACUCGUCGACGAACUUACAAUCGAUACCUUCCUCGAGAACGAGUUUGUAAAGGUAACGAAGGGCAGGCGCGAAACAAAGAGUCUCUCGCUCGCAACGAUGAAGAGAAUCCACACAGCAGAAGUGUCCAAAAUAUAUCACAGGGAUAUCCUAAAGAUAUAUUUGGGAUAUGCGAUAUCUUCAAGAUAUCCUUAUGAUAUAUUUGGGACGUUCCUACUGUGUGGGAAUGUUAUCAAUCAUCAGUUCGCUCGGAUUUGUCACAGUGACCGACGCGGUUGCAAAACGAAAAAGAAGAAACGAGGAAACUUUACUUUUGUUUUCCUUGUUGAGAAGAAUUGAAGAUAUGUAUGCGUGACAGAUAUAUAAUAUAUAUGUAUCAUGUCGACAGCAACUAUCUUGUUGUUCUUGCGCCGAUAAAAUCGCUGAAAUUCCCGUUACAUCAUCGCGCAAGCGACAUAACGUGUGUAAAAUUCUCGCGUCUCACUUUACGAUAUCUCUAAUUCGCUUCCUGUAAUCUAUACUACUGAUAUAUCUAUAGCUACUGGUUUUUCCGUUAUAAAGCCCGCAACGAAUGUCGCGCGUCACGACGCGGAAGUUCUCGCUGAAGUUACCGAAGAAUUCUAAAAAUGCUCUCGGAGCAUGCGUUCUAAAAUUCAGUGAAAUAAUUUGGAAUUUAUCAGAUCAAUCGUUUUAUUACUGGAAUUACUGUAAUUAAUGUAUUUACGAAUGUAUUUACGAAUAAUACAUAGUAUCAGCGAACUUGAUAGAUGCGUGAAGAAUACGAAGAAAUAUUUUUCUAUCAUAAUAGCAUGAUAAUACUGUCAAAUGUGUCGAAAUCGAAGAAAAAUGUUCUAUCAAUUAAUCAAAUCUUGGAUUGAAGUGCGAAUAUCUCGACAGACGUUAAUGCUUUCCGAUUCCACACCGCGGAACUCUGAAUUGAUUACAUCAGAAAUGAGAAAGUACAUGUCAAAAAAUCUUGUGUUAUUUCUAAAUAAAGAUAUUCGUACGAAAGAACACUUUUCUGGUCGCUAAACAUACUUGUAAAAUGCUCCGACAAUCCUUUUCCGUUGACAGUCAAUAAAUUGUAAUAAAUUUGUAAUAAAUUUCAAAGUAUGUUACAAGUAUACUUGGACAAUCAGAAGUGUCCUUUCGUACAAAUAUUUUUUUAUCUGGAAAUUGUUACAAGAAUUUUGGACAUAUAUUUUCUCGCUUAUGACGUCAUCAAUCCAAAGUUUCGUAAAUAGUACUCAAACGCUUUCAUUUCCGAGAAAUUGGAUACGAAGAUUCGAUUGUGAGUUGAAGGUCGGUUUGUUACACUUGAAACUGAUAAUCGUUGCGUAAUGAUUCUGACGUGUAUAUUCUCUGAAAAAUAUCUCCAGUAUAAAAAUCAAUGUCUCGUUACGCUUAGAAGCGAAGUUUCAAUUGUAUUAUAUAUUGCAUUUUAUUUGUGUCGAUUGAUAUAGAAUUUUCUCUAACGACGCAGCUGAAUGUACAUAAAGAUACGCUAAGAUAAAAAUUAACAUUUACGUGUCGUAUGA